ensembl:misc_RNA Metazoa_SRP Metazoan signal recognition particle RNA
GCCGGGUGCAGUGGCGGGUACCUGUAAUCCUAGCUACUUGGGAGGCUGAGGCAGGAGAAUUGCUUGAACCCGGGAGGCAGAGGUUGCAGUGAGCUGAGAUCACGCCACUGCACUUCAGCCUGGGUGACAGAGCAAGACUCUGUCUUGA